rnacentral:rRNA from 1 species
AUACGGAGGAUCCAAGCGUUAUCCGGAUUUAUUGGGUUUAAAGGGUACGUAGGCGGACUUAUAAGUCAGUGGUGAAAUUCUGCAGCUUAACUGUAGCAUUGCCAUUGAUACUGUUUGUCUUGAGUAUAGUUGAGGUAGGCGGAAUGUAGUGUGUAGCGGUGAAAUGCAUAGAUAUACUACGGAACACCGAUUGCGAAGGCAGCUUACUAAACUAUUACUGACGCUGAGGUACGAAAGCGUGGGGAGCAAACAGGAUUAGAUACCCUGGUAGUCCACGCCGUAAACUAUGAUUACUAGUUGUUUGCGAUAUAUUGUAAGCGACUGCGCGAAAGCAUUAAGUAAUCCACCUGGGGAGUACGUUGGCAACAAUGAAACUCAAAGGAAUUGACGGGG